rnacentral:rRNA from 1 species
GACGAACGCUGGCUGCGUGCCUAAUACAUGCAAGUCUAGCGGACUAUUCGAAAUCUUGCUUUUUAAUCGUUAGCGGCGGACUGUUGACUAACACGUGGCCAACCUUCUCUGUAUACGGGGAUACCACCGAUAAAUCUGUCCUAAUACCUUAUAACACGAAAUGUCGCAUUACUUUUCGUUGAAAUGCCUCCCAAGCUGCCUCUACAGGAUUGUCCCGCGGCUCAUUCGCUAGUUGGUGAGGUAACGGCCCACCAAGUCGACGAUGCGUAGCCGACCUGAGAGGGUGAUCGGCCACACUGGGACUGAGACAAGGCCCAGAAUCCUACGGGAGGCCGAAGUAGGGAAUCUUCCGCAGUGGAAGAAAGUCUGACGGAGCAACGCCGCGUGAGCGAAGCAGGCCUUAGGGUCGUAAAGCUAUGUUGUUAGGGAAGAACAAGUAACGAAGUAAAUGACGUUACUAUGACGGUACCUAACGAGAAAGCCAAGGCUAACUACGUG